AGAGUUUGAUCCUGGCUCAGGAUGAACGCUGGCGGCGUGCCUAAUACAUGCAAGUCGAGCGAACAGAUGAGAAGCUUGCUUCUCUGAUGUUAGCGGCGGACGGGUGAGUAACACGUGGGUAACCUACCUAUAAGACUGGGAUAACUCCGGGAAACCGGGGCUAAUACCGGAUAAUAUUUUGAACCGCAUGGUUCAAUAGUGAAAGACGGUUUCGGCUGUCACUUAUAGAUGGACCCGCGCCGUAUUAGCUAGUUGGUAAGGUAACGGCUUACCAAGGCGACGAUACGUAGCCGACCUGAGAGGGUGAUCGGCCACACUGGAACUGAGACACGGUCCAGACUCCUACGGGAGGCAGCAGUAGGGAAUCUUCCGCAAUGGGCGAAAGCCUGACGGAGCAACGCCGCGUGAGUGAUGAAGGCCUUCGGAUCGUAAAACUCUGUUGUUAGGGAAGAACAAAUUUGUUAAUAACUGAACAAGUCUUGACGGUACCUAACCAGAAAGCCACGGCUAACUACGUGCCAGCAGCCGCGGUAAUACGUAUGUGGCAAGCGUUAUCCGG
rnacentral:rRNA from 1 species